rnacentral:misc_RNA from 1 species
GAUGAAGAACGUAGCGAAAUGCGAUAAUUAAUGUGAAUUGCAGAAUUCCGUGAAUCAUCGAGUCUUUGAACGCACAUUGCGCCUCAUGGCAUUCCGUGAGGCAUGCCCAUCUCAGCGUUAGAAAAUAUUCUCAAAUUUUAGUUUUGUGCUAAAAUUUGGAUCAUGUCAAAGAAGCUAUUACUAUUAUUGUGAUCGCUCUUUGGAAAUUGAUAGGUCUUUGAGUUGCUACUCAUAGAACGUGAUGAAUCUUUCUUCGUUCUAUUGUAAUUCACUCUGGUAGUCCUAAAACUUGUAUGCCUGUGGCAUAUCUUGUAAUAUGACCUGAGAUUGGGUAGGGAUACCCGCUGAACUUAAGCAUAUCAAUAAGCGGAGGA